rnacentral:rRNA from 1 species
UACGGAGAGUGCAAGCGUUGUUCGGAAUUAUUGGGCGUAAAGCGCGUGUAGGCGGCUCGACAAGUCUGGCGUGAAAGCUCAGGGCUCAACCCUGAAAGUGCGCUGGAAACUGUCAAGCUUGAGUACUGGAGGGGGAAGUGGAAUUCUCGAGUGUAGAGGUGAAAUUCGUAGAUAUUCGGAAGAACAUCAGUGGCGAAGGCGACUUCCUGGACAGAUACUGACGCUGAGACGCGAAAGCGUGGGGAGCAAACAGG